UAGGCCUACGGGAGGCAGCAGUAGGGAAUUUUCGUCAAUGGGCGCAAGCCUGAACGAGCAAUGCCGCGUGAACGAGGAAGGUCUUCGGAUCGUAAAGUUCUGUUGAAGGGGAAAAAGAGCGGAGAGAGGAAAUGGUCUCCGAUUGAUAUUACCCUUCGAGGAAGUCACGGCUAACUACGUGCCAGCAGCCGCGGUAAUACGUAGGUGGCGAGCGUUAUCCGGAAUGAUUGGGCGUAAAGGGUGCGUAGGCGGCCUGCUAAGUCUGGAGUGAAAGGCGGGGGCCCAACCCCCGGACUGCUUUGGAA
rnacentral:rRNA from 1 species